AAUAUCCUUUCAACAAAUUAUGCGUAUUUAAGGAGAUAGGGCUGCGCAUGCGCAGAACGUAUCUCCUUACCUUUGCACUUUUUGGUAAGAAGAUGUUAACAAAAGUUGUUCGUCAUGAUGAGAGCUACAACUUUGCUUAAUAUCCUUUUAACAAAUUAUGCGUAUUUAAGAAGAUAGGGCUGCGCAUGCGCAGAACGUAUCUCCUUACCUUUGCACUUUUUGGUAAGAAGAUGUU
rnacentral:miRNA from 1 species